rnacentral:rRNA from 1 species
AGGCCACUGCUAUGGGGGUCCGACUAAGCCAUGCGAGUCAUGGGGCGCGCUCUGCGCGCACCGGCGGACGGCUCAGUAACACGUCGGUAACCUACCCUCGGGAGGGGGAUAACCCCGGGAAACUGGGGCUAAUCCCCCAUAGGCCUGAGGUACUGGAAGGUCCUCAGGCCGAAAGGGUACCGCCCGAGGAUGGGCCGGCGGCCGAUUAGGUAGUUGGUGGGGUAACGGCCCACCAAGCCGAAGAUCGGUACGGGCCAUGAGAGUGGGAGCCCGGAGAUGGACACUGAGACACGGGUCCAGGCCCUACGGGGCGCAGCAGGCGCGAAACCUCCGCAAUGCGGGCAACCGCGACGGGGGGACCCCCAGUGCCGUGGCAUCGCCACGGCUUUUCCGGAGUGUAAAAAGCUCCGGGAAUAAGGGCUGGGCAAGGCCGGUGGCAGCCGCCGCGGUAAUACCGGCGGCCCGAGUGGUGGCCGCUAUUAUUGGGCCUAAAGCGUCCGUAGCCGGGCCCGUAAGUCCCUGGCGAAAUCCCACGGCUCAACCGUGGGGCUUGCUGGGGAUACUGCGGGCCUUGGGACCGGGAGAGGCCGGGGGUACCCCUGGGGUAGGGGUGAAAUCCUAUAAUCCCAGGGGGACCGCCAGUGGCGAAGGCGCCCGGCUGGAACGGGUCCGACGGUGAGGGACGAAGGCCAGGGGAGCGAACCGGAUUAGAUACCCGGGUAGUCCUGGCUGUAAAGGAUGCGGGCUAGGUGUCGGGCGAGCUUCGAGCUCGCCCGGUGCCGAAGGGAAGCCGUUAAGCCCGCCGCCUGGGGAGUACGGCCGCAAGGCUGAAACUUAAAGGAAUUGGCGGGGGAGCACUACAAGGGGUGGAGCGUGCGGUUUAAUUGGAUUCAACGCCGGGAACCUCACCGGGGGCGACGGCAGGAUGAAGGCCAGGCUGAAGGUCUUGCCGGACACGCCGAGAGGAGGUGCANGGCCGCCGUCAGCUCGUACCGUGAGGCGUCCACUUAAGUGUGGUAACGAGCGAGACCCGCGCCCCCAGUUGCCAGUCCUCCCCGCUGGGGAGGAGGCACUCUGGGGGGACCGCCGGCGAUAAGCCGGAGGAAGGAGCGGGCGACGGUAGGUCAGUAUGCCCCGAAACCCCCGGGCUACACGCGCGCUACAAUGGAAUC